ACUUUAAUUUUCCAUAAAAGACAGAGAUGAGAAUGAAAUCUUGCUCCAAAUAAUAUGGAUAAAAAAAUUUAUCAAGAACAUCAAAAAUAGAGAUACUUCUUCUCACCAAAUCAAGAUUUUUGUAGAAAAAAGAUAGAUCAAUGAUGCAGAUUUGGACCCUCGAAUUCAUCUUGAAGGAGCUUCCUUGGUGCACAGUCCACAA
rnacentral:lncRNA from 1 species